GGGUAGUACGUGCAGGCGAGGGUGGGAAGAGGUGGGGGGCAAGGGUUGUCCGUGUGUAUUGGGGGUGAAGGGAGGGGAGGCGGCCAGGAAGGGCCGUUGUGAAAAGUCGAGGCUCAACCUCGAGACGUCGAUGGAAACCGUCUGGCUAGAGUCCGGAAGAGGAGAGUGGAAUUCCUGGUGUAGCGGUGAAAUGCGCAGAUAUCAGGAAGAACACCUAGGGCGAAGGCAGCUCUCUGGGACGGUACUGACGCUGAGACGCGAAAGCGUGGGGAGCGAACAGGAUUAGAUACCCGAGUAGUC
rnacentral:rRNA from 1 species